GAGUUAAAGUUCCUCGUAAUUUUCGCUUGUUGGAAGAACUUGAAGAAGGACAAAAAGGAGUAGGCGACGGUACAGUUAGCUGGGGCCUUGAAGAUGAUGAAGAUAUGACACUUACAAGGUGGACAGGCAUGAUUAUUGGGCCACCAAGGCUGGAAUAAUUGAGGAAGGCUGAACAGUGGAGGAAGUUGCCUUUGGAAUGAUCCCUAAAGGACUGACUGGUAGGAUUUCAGAAGGUGGUGAUGGGGAUGGAGAACAUUCCAGAUAGAGAGGAGAAAAGACAAAUUAUGAAAACAGAAUAUAUAGCCUGAAAGUAGAAUGUGGACCUAAAUACCCAGAAGCUCCUCCGUCAGUUAGAUUUGUAACAAAAAUUAAUAUGAACGGAAUAAAUAAUUCCAGUGGGAUGGUGGAUGCCCGGAGCAUACCAGUGUUAGCAAAAUGGCAAAAUUCAUAUAGCAUUAAAGUUGUACUUCAAGAGCUAAGACGUCUAAUGAUGUCCAAAGAAAAUAUGAAGCUUCCACAGCCACCAGAAGGACAAACAUACAACAAUUAAUUUUAGUGGAUCUCAAACUUGUCUUAAAUCAACAACCUUCUACUCAUGUUAAUGUCUUGAUUAAAUAUCACAAUG
rnacentral:lncRNA from 10 species